GAUCCUGGCUCAGGACGAACGCUGGCGGCGUGCCUAAUACAUGCAAGUAGAACGCUGAAGAGAGGAGCUUGCUCUUCUUGGAUGAGUUGCGAACGGGUGAGUAACGCGUAGGUAACCUGCCUUGUAGCGGGGGGAUAACUAUUGGAAACGAUAGCUAAUACCGCAUAACAAUGGAUAACCCAUGUCAUUUAUUUGAAAGGGGCAAAUGCUCCACUACAAGAUGGACCUGCGUUGUAUUAG
rnacentral:rRNA from 1 species